GCUCACCUAGGCGAGGAUCCCUAGCUGGUCUGAGAGGAUGACCAGCCACACUGGAACUGAGACACGGUCCAGACUCCUACGGGAGGCAGCAGUGGGGAAUAUUGCACAAUGGGCGCAAGCCUGAUGCAGCCAUGCCGCGUGUGUGAAGAAGGCCUUCGGGUUGUAAAGCACUUUCAGCGGGGAGGAAGGCGAUAAGGUUAAUAACCUCAUCGAUUGACGUUACCCGCAGAAGAAGCACCGGCUAACUCCGUGCCAGCAGCCGCGGUAAUAC
rnacentral:rRNA from 1 species